rnacentral:rRNA from 1 species
AUAUCACUAAGCGGAGGAAAAGAAACUAACCAGGAUUCCCUUAGUAACGGCGAGUGAACAGGGAUUAGCCCAGCACCGAAGCCUGUGGUUAUUUGACUGCUAGGCAAUGUGGUGUUUAGAUUGGUUCUUGGCAUUUUUGCUUUGUCCCAAGUCCAUCAAUGAAAGUGGCUAAUGGACAGGCCCAAAGAGGGUGAAAGGCCCGUGGGGAUAAAGAUCAAGUGUGUCGAAAGUGCUUUGAAUCUUUCUUGGAGUCGGGUUGUUUGAGAAUGCAGCCCAAAGAGGGUGGUAGACUCCAUCCAAGGCUAAAUACUGGCACGAAUCCGAUAGCAAACAAGUACCGUGAGGGAAAGUUGAAAAGUACUUUGAAGAGAGAGUAAACAGUGCGUGAAACCGCUCAGAGGUAAACGGGUGGAGUUGAACUGGAAUCCUUGGCAAUUUAACUGAUGAGUAUGGCUUGUGCUUUUUUGGGCAUGGUGGCUAAUAUGCGAAGUCUGCUUAAUGACAGGCUUGGAUCCUUUCGGGGGUUCGAGUGCACGUGGCACUGGUCAGGUGUUGUGCGCUUCGUUUAAUUUGGGUCAGCUUGUCAGUGCAUUUUGUCAGGGUGAUCACCACGACCGGCGUGGUUGCCUGUUUGUUGUAACCAAACCGAUCAGAUCUGGUCAUUACGGCUAGUUUUGGUAGGGAUGGCAGGUAGCUUGCUUGCUUCUUUAUUGGAGUUGGUGAGUGUUAAUUAGCCGGUUGCAAUGAACUUGUGCAAUAUGUCGGAGAUGACGGCCGUGUAUGCUUUGUUUGGCAAAUUUGAGCGGGUUUGAUUGGCAUGUACUUGUUAAGGCAGGUCGGUCAGUAGCUCGUUUGAGUUUGUUAAGUGAAUGCGUGCAACGAAUUGUGGCUUGGGCCUAUAGUCUGUGGUGUAGUGGUAGACUAUCCACCUGACCCGUCUUGAAACACGGACCAAGGAGUUUAACAUGUGCGCGAGUCAUUGGGCGUUACGAAACCCAAAGGCGUAAUGAAAGUAAAGGUUUAAACUAAGGUGAGAUCUUGUUGUGUCCAAUGAUCUAUGCAUUGGCAUGGCGAGCGCAUCACCAGCCCGUCUCAUGGUGUUGUCAUAGAGCUUGUCUUUGUGCGUCAUCGGGGCGGAGCCAGAGCGUACACGUUGAGACCCGAAAGAUGGUGAACUAUGCUUGCGUAGGUUGAAGCCAGAGGAAACUCUGGUGGAGGACCGUAGCGAUUCUGACGUGCAAAUCGAUCGUCAAACGUGGGUAUAGGGGCGAAAGACUAAUCGAACCAUCUAGUAGCUGGUUCCCUCCGAAGUUCC